rnacentral:rRNA from 1 species
GUAGGGAAUAUUGGGCAAUGGUCGGAAGACUGACCCAGCCAUGCCGCGUGCAGGAAGACGGCCCUCUGGGUUGUAAACUGCUUUUAUCUGGGAAGAAAAAGGCCAUGCGUGGCAAAUUGCCGGUACCAGAUGAAUAAGCACCGGCUAACUCCGUGCCAGCAGCCGCGGUAAUACGGAGGGUGCGAGCGUUGUCCGGAUUUAUUGGGUUUAAAGGGUGCGUAGGCGGCUGAUUAAGUCAGCGGUGAAAGACUUCGGCUUAACCGGAGCAGUGCCGUUGAUACUGGUUGGCUUGAGUGUCGGAGGUGUACAUGGAAUUGAUGGUGUAGCGGUGAAAUGCAUAGAUACCAUCAGGAACACCGAUAGCGAAGGCAUUGUACUGGCCGACAACUGACGCUGAUGCACGAAAGUGUGGGGAUCGAACAGGAUUAGAAACCCGGGUAGUCC